AUGUCAGCUUUGAAGGAACAGCUGGGUGCAAUGGAUGCUGAGAACAAAGAACCAAAGGAAAAGGUUGACCAGUUGAAGAGCAUUCAUGUUACCCAAGGUAAUGUGAUUAGGAAUCUGAAGUUUGCCCAUUUGAAGGAGAAGGAAAAGUUGAGCACUGAGAGGAGGAAUUCGAAGUUUCACAUUGCUGAUCUUGUCAAAGCUAGUGACAAGAAUAAGAGAAAGCUGAAGGAUAUCAAGGAUAUUUGUGAUGAAGAGUGA
rnacentral:rRNA from 1 species